GUGCAUCUGCGGCUUUCGUGUCCGGCCCGUGCCCUGCGGUCCUCCCUGCAAGCUCCAGGUCGGUGCUGCGGCUGCCUCGGAGGCCUCGACACCUGGAACCGGUUUCGCUUCUCUGUGCAGGAGGGAGGGUGCUGCCCAGCAGAGGAGAGACUUCGGGAGAAUCGUCCGGACUGGGCCCCGACGGUAACCUGGGGGAAGGGGCUUCAGCGUCCCGAGCUCCGCUUCCCGGCCCCGAAGGCGUACCUUGGAGGUAUUCUGGGUGUGGCUCCAGACCGCUGCAAUCAAGUGACCAUCCUGAUACAGCGAGUCACGUGGACCUUCUGGUUUCCCGGUGCCUAUGAAAGUCCAUUACUCAUCAAAAAAUAAAUCGGAGUCGACGAUGUGCCCAGGCUGGGGGACCCCUGGACGACGGCAGCGUUGCCAUCAGAUGACCCGUCUCCGUUUCUGUGUGCGGUGGCGUUUCCUUCCAGGGAGGGGGCAGGCGAGUCUCGUCGUCAGCAGGAGCUUUGCGAAGUGCAGUUGUAAAGCGAUCAUGACCGAAAAUGAUCUAUUCCCCAAACGUCCCUGCUGAGCUACAGACUUUAAUAUUAUUUUUAUCAUCCGGUGUCAAAUUUUACCAUAUAAAUUGGGCACAUCUCAAACUUAAGUCUUAAUUGAUGAGACUGUAUGAUAAAUAAAGGAUACAAAG